CAUGUACCCACAUGCACAUGGAUAGGCCAAAAGACUUGCCUAUUGUUCUCCUACCUUGGAGUCCUUGGAAUCAGACUCAGGUUGUCAGGCUGUCAUCUCACCAGCCCUAGCACCAUGUUAAGAACAAAAACUGGUGUGAUGGCACAGGCUGUGGUGUAAGCACUGAGAGGCAGGCAGGGAAGGACAACCAGAAGUCAAAGGUUACCCGUGCUGUAGGCUGGAUUAGGGGCUAGCCUCACUGCAUAAGAGUCUGUCCUUUAAAUAAGUUGGGGGUGGAGGGUGGAAAGGAACACAUGGCUCCAAAAGCUACAUUUAAAGCCAUAGAACAAGUCUCGUACACUAGUCACAGAAUCUUCUGGGUACGAACUCUGUCCGUUGUACUACAGGCUAUAAUGCAAGGUGUACGUAUGCCUGAUGUAUGAUGCACUUCAAACAUUUUGCCCUCUUGCUUACAAAUUCCCUGAGUGCAUUUAACCCUUACAAAUAAAUGCUCUUUGCAGUUCAGUUUUUAUGCUUACAAGAGAUGUUACUGUUACAUAGUAUAGGAAAAUUCCUAUCAAAUGGGUUGGGUACCACACCAGCCUAACAGUGAAGCUCACUGAGCCACCAAACAGUAACAGAAUUGGUAACCUGAUACUAUAACUUCUGGCUAAUUCCAGAAGGCUGAAUGGAUCAUAGAACUGUGUUUUCUAGCUUCCUGCUAGCUUGAUGAUGCAGGCCUUUGAUCUUAGCACUCCGUGAGUUUAAUGCGGGCCUGUCUACACAGUGAGCUCCAAGACAGUCAGGCAGUCAGGACAAAAAAAAAGAAAAGA
rnacentral:lncRNA from 1 species